rnacentral:hammerhead_ribozyme from 1 species
AUCCAGCUGACGAGUCUCAAGUAGGAUGAAACGCGCAUUCUGGAU